rnacentral:rRNA from 1 species
UACGUAGGGGGCAAGCGUUGUCCGGAUUUAUUGGGCGUAAAGAGCGUGUAGGCGGCCAUGUAGGUCCGUUGUGAAAACUCGAGGCUCAACCUCGAGACGCCGAUGGAAACCAUAUGGCUAGAGUCCGGAAGAGGAGAGUGGAAUUCCUGGUGUAGCGGUGAAAUGCGCAGAUAUCAGGAGGAACACCGGUGGCGAAGGCGGCUCUCUGGACCGCAACUGACGCUGAGGCGCGAAAGCUAGGGGAGCAAACAGG